rnacentral:rRNA from 1 species
UAAACCGGGAUUAGAUACCCCGCUAUAUGGGGGAGGUUAGAAGGGGGGGUAGUAACGGUUAGGCCCCCCAAACCCAAAGAACUUGGCGGCAGCCCACCCAACUAGAGGAGCCUGCCCCGUAACCGAUACCACCCGUUAGCCCAACCUCCCGUGUGUAUGUAUACCGCCGUCUAAUCUUUAACCCCUAAGUUAAGGUAAAAAGGUAACCCCCUAAGACAGGUCGAGGUGCAGCGUAUUGGGAGGGGGAGGUGGGCUACAGUUCCUCUGUGAGCAGACCCCCCUUUGAUAGGGGAGGGGCAAGAUGGAUUUAGAGGUACCGGGGGGUCAGUACCCCCCCGCGAAUUGGAUUUGGGCCGUGUACAUAUCGCCCGUCACUCUCAACAAACUUGAGAU